rnacentral:lncRNA from 1 species
ACGCAGGACGUCCUCUAAAGCAACUUCCGUGGGUGCCAGGUUGUGGGCUGGGGGCGGUGCUGACCUUGAGAGAGCGGAGGAGGCGCAGGCGCAGCACAGUUUAAACUUGAUUUUGUGAGGGGACGAACAGCGUGACAAUUAAAAGAAGAUCUGGGAAUCAAAAGCUUCCUGAGGCCUUCACCAGAAGCAGAUGCUGGUGCCGUGCUUCUACAGCCUGCAGAACUGAAGGACUUUACAGCUUCUCUUUCGCAUAUCCAAAUUGCCAGCAUCACCGCUCUUGCACUCCAAGCCAUUAUUAAGUAAAGUAAAGAACACAAACACUGUGAUACUGCUACACUUGAUCUGAUAACCAAGAAGUCUACUAAGUGACUAACAGCAGAGCAACUGGGAACCUAAUUCUGACCAAAAAGGAGGAAUUGUUUGGCUAAUUGGAAGUGACAGAAACCUUGGGAGAAAGCAACCGCAUACCAAGGAUAAUUAUAAGAAGAAGAGAAGACAUGGAGAAGAGGAGGGAGUAGUUGUGACCGUGGAGGCAGAGAAUGGAGUAAUGUGAUCAUAAAUCAAGGAAUGCUGACAGCCACUAAAGCUGGAGAAGGCCAAGGACAGAUAUUCAAUCCUCCCGUAGAAGUACAGCCCUGCUAAUGCAUUGAUUUUGGACUUCUGGCCUCAGAACUGUCUGGAAAGCAUGGAAAUUUGUAUCUUCAUUCACUUUUGUUUUCAUGGACUCUUUUCAUGUUUGAACUUUUCAUGAUCCAAUGUGAUAAUUUAUGUGAAAUCUUUCUGCAAACUAUACAGUAUGAUAAAAAUAUAAGGUAGUUUCACUGGAAACAACAGAAGACUAGAAGCUGAUGUGACGUGGCAAUAUCAACCAGGAAUACCCAUCUCGAGUUCUGGAUAUGUGCUCUGAGAAGGUGCCCAUGUCACCGACCACACUGGAGGCCAAUGCAGAUACUGGGGGAAGGUUCCAUGGUAGCUAAGUGUGGACAAGCUAAUCACUGAAGUUCCCUGAUGCAGAGUUGAUAAUCUCUCUAGAGUUGGAUGAAAGACUGUGCUGCCUUGAAGCUCUGAGAGAUGCCAUGCCAAUUCAAGGCAGGGUCUUUAUUGUUGAAACUCUUGCGUAAUGACAUCUUUAUUCAGGUGAAAAUACAGGAUGAAUUUCAACUAUAUGAUAUUGUUUAUGUUCCUCAGACAUGUUAUUUGUCUUUACAAAGAUUGGUUUCAAUAAACUGUGUGACUGAUAUUAAAUAAACAUGGAAUUUUACACAUUCAUAAU